AGAUCCUCAACCUCGUCCUUGAUGGCUAAGGCGAUUUGGUAGCAUGUCUCGAACCUUGGUUGGUCAUUUCUAACAAAAGACCAGUUCAAGAUCGUAACUGGACCCGUAAGCAUUCCCUUCAUAGGUCGCUUCGUCAUGCUCUGAGCCAUUGUCGACCAAAAGACGGUCAUAGGUUUUGGACGACUGACAUCACCAUAGAUGAUAGGUGGCUUAACACAACGGGACCCAUAGGAUUGGACCCAACCAUUGACAGUGAAGGCAAAGCCAGAUAGUUGCUCUCCAAAGU
rnacentral:misc_RNA from 1 species